GACGUAGGGGACGAGCGUUAUCCAGAAUUACUGGGCGUAAAGCGCCCGCAGGCGGUUCGUUACGUUCGAGGUGACAGUUGCCGGCUUAACCGGCAGAGGACCUUGAAAACGGGCGGACUUGAGGACCAGAGAGGGACCUGGAAUUCCGGGUGGAGCAGUGAAAUGCGUAGAUACUCGGAGGAACACCGAAGGCGAAGGCAGGGUCCUGGCUGGCACCUGACGCUCAGGGGCGAAAGCCAGGGGAG
rnacentral:rRNA from 1 species